GCCGUGAGCCGCCUCCCCUCGCACCCGGCACCGGGCCGCCCCGGGGCCGCGUCCCGCUCGUGGCUUUCUUCAUCCCCCACCUCCCCUCCCGCUGCUGCUGCUGUUGGUUUUCCGGAGAGAGAGCUGCCGCCCUCGGGAACCUGGCACCGACCCGCCGCCGGCUGCUGCUGCUGCUGCGGGGCGACGAGGAGGAGGAGGAGGAGGAGGAGGAGGA